GCCUGGGAAAGGGCAAGAGGCCUAGUAGAGUAAAUUCUCUUUGAAAUGAGAAAAAAUGCCUCCUGUAAAAGGUGUCUGAAUUCUUGUGGUUUGGACCACCUGUUAAACUGCACUAUCAAGGGCCUGGGUUCAACUCAUGACAGCACCAGGACAGCAAGAAGCCCAAGUAACAACAAAAAUAACAUUUAAUGAAUGAAGAUAAGCUCAUAGUUCUUGCUCUGCAUGACUAACUCGAUCAGGAUGGAAACUUCAAAGAUAUACCUGCUCUGGUGGUCAAGGCCAGCUGCACUGAAACAUUUCCAGCAGAAAAAAUAUUACAGAUGAAAAUGUUGAAAUAUUGCAUCCCACUCAAAGUAGGCAAGAAAAUGUCAAGGACAUAAAGGAGCUGCU